GUCAGAAGCCGAAUUUAAAAACCCCCCUUUACGUAUGGGAAUAACGAACCAAGUCAUUAUACACGCUGUUGUAUAAACAUAGGAGAACGAGAAAUUAUUGUUUAUUAGUGUAAAAUGGGCUCUAGAGUUAACAAAAUAAUGAGUAUGGUGAACAGCAACAUGUCUGUAACCAAUACAAAUAAAGAAAAUAAGGAUCUACUGACAAAUUCUUCAGAUUCUCCAGACAAGAUUAUUGUGCUACAGAAUCUACCAUCAGAACCAUUUUCUUGGAACCAAGAAGAUUUAAGCACUGUGAUGAUGAACCAUGCAGAACCGACUUUCAAUAAAGACUGCAGUGAAUCUACUACCCCGCUGGAACUGCAUUAUCCGUUUAUUAAUAUGAAUGUAAAGGACACAACUAUUAAUAAAAGAGAUCCUGAUUCUGACAGAAUAAG